GGACUACUAGGGUAUCUAAUCCUGUUUGCUCCCCACGCUCUCGCGCCUCAGCGUCAGUCACAGUCCAGGUGGCCGCCUUCGCCACUGAUGUUCCUUCCGAUCUCUACGCAUUUCACCGCUACACCGGAAAUUCCGCCACCCUCUACUGUACUCCAGAUCCAUAGUCUAAGAUGCAGUUCCUAGGUUAAGCCCAGGGAUUUCACAUCUCACUUACACAUCCGCCUACGCGCCCUUUACGCCCAGUUACUCCGAUUAACGCUCGCACCCUCUGUAUUACCGCGGCUGCUGGCAC
rnacentral:rRNA from 1 species